GCAGGGACGGGGAUAAUCACUGGCACUGGUACUGGUACGGGAACUGGCACUGGUACUGGUACGGGAACUAGCACUGGUACAGGUACGGGAACUGGUACCGGUACAGGAACUGGCACUAUCACAGGAACUGGGUCUGGUAGCUGUAUGGACAAGUUAUCCAACUGCGCUGCCUACACUCAAGAUGCGUGCACGGGAUUGUACGAGCAAUGGGCACGUGACAACUGCGCACACUACUGUAACCUCUGUCCAGCGACGGGUUCUGGUGGUGUAAUAACCGGAUCCGGUACCGCGGCACCGGGCACUGGGACAGGGACGGGAACGGGAACCGGCACCGGCACUGGCUCUGGAUAUGUGG